rnacentral:rRNA from 1 species
GAUGAACGCUGGCGGCGUGCCUAAUACAUGCAAGUCGAACGCUGGAGAUCUAGCUUGCUAGAUCGAAGGAGUGGCGAACGGGUGGGUAAUACAUAAGCAACCUACCCACGAAGACUGGGAUAAUCUCUGGAAACGGGGACUAAUACCGGAUAGGUAAUCGGAAGGCAUCUUCUGGUUAUUAAAGGUUAAAAACACUGGUGGAUGGGCUUAUGGCGCAUUAGUUAGUUGGUGAGGUAACGGCCCACCAAGACGAUGAUGCGUAGCCGGCCUGAGAGGGUGAACGGCCACAUUGGGACUGAGACACGGCCCAGACUCCUACGGGAGGCAGCAGUAGGGAAUUUUCGGCAAUGGGGGCAACCCUGACCGAGCAACGCCGCGUGAGUGAAGACGGCCUUCGGGUUGUAAAGCUCUGUUGUAAGGGAAGAACGGUAGAUAGAGAAUAUCUAAGUGACGGUACCUUACCAGAAAGCCACGGCUAACUACGUG